UACGUAGGUGGCGAGCGUUGUCCGGAAUUACUGGGCGUAAAGGGCGCGUAGGUGGCCAACUAAGUCAGACGUGAAAUCCCUCGGCUUAACCGGGGAACUGCGUCUGAUACUGGAUGGCUUGAGUUUGGGAGAGGGACGCGGAAUUCCAGGUGUAGCGGUGAAAUGCGUAGAUAUCUGGAGGAACACCGGUGGCGAAGGCGGCGUCCUGGACCAACACUGACACUGAUGAGCGAAAGCCAGGGGAGCAAACGGG
rnacentral:rRNA from 1 species